GGGGCCGUAGCUCAGCUGGGAGAGCGCGUGGAUGGCAUUCACGAGGUCAGGGGUUCGAGACCCCUCGGCUCCACCA
rnacentral:tRNA from 1 species